rnacentral:rRNA from 1 species
ACUCCUACGGGAGGCAGCAGUGGGGAAUUUUGGACAAUGGGCGAAAGCCUGAUCCAGCAAUGCCGCGUGAGUGAAGAAGGCCUUCGGGUUGUAAAGCUCUUUUGUCAGGGAAGAAACGGUGAGAGCUAAUAUCUCUUGCUAAUGACGGUACCUGAAGAAUAAGCACCGGCUAACUACGUGCCAGCAGCCGCGGUAAUACGUAGGGUGCAAGCGUUAAUCGGAAUUACUGGGCGUAAAGCGUGCGCAGGCGGUUUUGUAAGUCUGAUGUGAAAUCCCCGGGCUCAACCUGGGAAUUGCAUUGGAGACUGCAAGGCUAGAAUCUGGCAGAGGGGGGUAGAAUUCCACGUGUAGCAGUGAAAUGCGUAGAUAUGUGGAGGAACACCGAUGGCGAAGGCAGCCCCCUGGGUCAAGAUUGACGCUCAUGCACGAAAGCGUGGGGAGCAAACAGGAUUAGAUACCCGAGUAGUCCCA